UACGGAGGGGGCAAGCGUUAUUCGGAAUUAUUGGGCGUAAAGGGCAGGUAGGCGGCUUCGUGUGUCCCUUGUGAAAGCCCUCGGCUCAACUGAGGAAUUGCAAAGGAAACUACGGAGCUUGAGUCCGGGAGAGGAGAGUGGAAUUCCCAGUGUAGCGGUGAAAUGCGUAGAUAUUGGGAGGAACACCGGUGGCGAAGGCGGCUCUCUGGACCGGUACUGACGCUGAUCUGCGAAAGCCAGGGGAGCAAACGGG
rnacentral:rRNA from 1 species